CCGCUGACAAGCCACCAGAGCAGCGAGAGCCAAACAUCCACAGGUCAUGAACCCGAGCGGAGGUGAGACUCAGACUCCUCCAAUAAGCUCAAAGUGUUCCAUUAGUAGUAACCUCAGUGUUUGGAGGAAACCUUGUUUUUCUUUCUGCCUCUGUUGGUCACACAGCUGGAGCUGAAAUGAGAAAUUAGUCGAGCGUCUAUCACAGGUUCACAGCCGGCCCGGUAACGUCUUCAUCCUAACCAGGUUCACAGCGGGGCGGAGGAUCAGGUCUGGAGGGGAGAGGUUUGUUUGUGAAGCCUGUUUGGGAAUCCUUUUUGCGCUUCACUUUCAAAAGCCUUCUGCUUUUCCUCUCGGACUCCCAGUGUGACCAAAGAAAUACGUUUACUCUGGGCUGUAGUGGAGCGCUGCAUCCGUCAGUGAGCUGAGGGCUAGAGGAUAAAAGAACAUCCAUAAUUUACACUCACAACUUUUAACACCAGGAAUCUAUUAAAAUGUAAUCAGGAGGGAGGAAUGAAAGAGCAGCUUUGUGCAGAGGAUUCACAGAAAGACCUUCCUGUGUGCUGAUGAAGGGAAAAUCAGCUAAUUACCACACCAGGAGCUGUUUUUGAAUAAUCUUUACGCAAACAUGUUUCUCCAGGCUUCUCAAGGUUCACCUUGUAAUUAGACCUGUUAUUUGGACUCUAAAUGAGAGGACAUAUCUUUUCUUGUAUUUGUUGUUGUAGCCAUUAGUUAUUAGAAUUCACGUUGCAUUACUUUCUAGCCAGGAACCACUUUCAAAUCACCUUGACAGGUCAUGGUACUGCAAUUCCUGAAGUCUGACCGGCAUGCUGAAAACAUUUCCUUCCUCAUGAAACAUUUACAGCAAUAAUCUCUUUAAUCCUCUGAAAUCAGUGUGGUUCACAUCCUCUACAUCCUCCUCCCUGCUUUUCCCUGACCUGUGUUGGUAUUGUUUAUUAGCUUGGGUGCAACCACAGUGACCAACAAGUGCAAAUCUGCGACAAGAGAACAUUUUCAUUUGGAAAGACUAUUUCCAAAGUUCCGCUAAAAACAUGGUACCACCAUCUAGGUUGACCUUUCUGAGGCCUUUAACACCAUGGACCACUCCUUGCUUUUACAUAUUUCACAUAACAGUUGAGUUUACACGUUUACAAGGAUUCUCUGCCUGAUGAGCAAGAGGCAGUCGUUUUUGGGACUUACUUGUUCUGAGACCAGCGAUGUACUUCAAGGAUCUGUUUGGGGUCCCCCUCUUUUAACUGUUGACUGACAGUCUACCAUCUGAGUGAUAUUAAACUUAUUUAAAAUGCUUGUAAAAUUGAAUUUAUAGUUUCUUAAGAGCAGUUACAAUGCCGGUGCAAUGUUAACUGUUUGCAGAGAGAGACACAGGAGUCCAGAUAUAUGUUUUCUAUACUUUUUUUGCCUCGUCAGGGGAUUCCUUUGAGUGAUACACAGGUUUCUGGGGUCAAGGUUUUGAGAAAACAAUCAUAUUUACAUUAAAAAAACAAGUAUUUAAUUUGAACACAACCACCUAAACAACUUCAACGGUUGCAGGGCAGAGAGGGAGGAAGAGAAUAAGUGGGAGAUCACAAAGGAAGAAACAUCACCCGUAACCUUAAUUAUUUAAGUGGGUGAGACAAGAGUCUCGAGCCAGCAGUCUCUGACCUGCUGCACAGAGGCACACAUGCAUGCUGGAGUUAAAAUGAAUAAGUCACACAGCAGCAGGUGAUGGUGUCACAUCAGUGCUCACCUCAGCCCUGGUGGGCUUGAAGUCAAAUUAGGCCAUGGUUAAAAACUAAUGAGAUCUUUGCUGCUACUGCCAGGUUUUUAUAGUCCUUUGAACCAAAGUGAGCACAUAAGCAGUCAUUUACCGAGAUAAAAACUUGUGCUCAGUCAGAACGUAAGCAAAGUACAUUUAAAGGGAUAUUUUAAUACUUGAAGUGAAGUUGUUAAAGUUACAUGUCUUUAGUAGGUGUAUUUUCUCAGUGGAUUCCAGUUAGUUUUACCCCUUUAUUGAAAAACUGCUGGGAGAACCAACACACAAGCUGGGCUAUAGUUUUCUGCAGAUGAGGCUUAGUCUGUUAUUUGAGACUCUGAAGCAAGAACCUUUCUUAUCAGUGAACUAUGAGACUAUUGUCUCUUAGUUGCUCUUAGGAGCUUAAACAUUGUGCAGAACUGGAUGCAAAAAUAUCAAAAAUCAGGAUAGAUCAAAGACUUAUAUUCCAUAGUCUGAUUAGCUUAUCAGCACAAUUCAGGUGGAGGAGCACAUCUGAUGUGUGAUGCAUCCAGAAAUAGUGCAAUAACAACAAUGCAAAUUUAAUAAAUCCAAACUGUCCCUUUAGGGCAGAAAUUAGCUUAACUAAGAAUUCACAUGCACAUGGCUGCAUUUCCUUUUUAUAUGAGCUAUAAAUGAAAAGAUUUCAAAUGACUGAUUGACGACAUCCUCCUUGAAAUGUUCCAGUCCUUUUCCUCUCAGAUAAUUCCUUUCCCUCCGUAAACUCCAGCUCAUGUGGCCACCUUGAUGAAAUAUGCCUAAGAAAGAGAUCUGAUUAGCUCUCUCUUCUGUUCUGUUCUUAACUCCAUCAAAAUCUCUGAGGAUGAAUUCACCCCCCUCCAUUAGCCCGGCAGCCCCCUGUCAUUUCCUUGUUAAGGAUAAUUUGAUUGGGUUGUCGCACCUUUUCCUGCAGAAUGACAGGGGCAGAUUUAAACGUAAUAUGACCUUAUUGUAUCCGACACAGAUCUGAAACCACCGUCUCCCCUCGCUUGUUCCUUUUAUUAGAAUUUCAUGGUGUUUUCUUCCUUAUUGCCUUCUGUGAUUGUCUUAUCUUUAUACAGAACAUGCUGCACUCUGCUGCCUGCUGCUCUUAUUAAUAAACCGACGAAUGCAGACAUUUUCUUAUUCUCUCAUGAGCUUCAAAUAGACAGUGCUGAAGUAAGACUUUUUUAUUGCCAAAAACAAACAUUUUACCAACAAUGAUGCAAGAGAUACAGUAUGCAUGACAACCAGGGAGUUAUUUUUCUGUAAGAGGGAGAAAAGAUCUUUUUAUACAUCCACACAACGUAUUUAAAGUUCUCUAUGUGACUCAACUUUCUGAGGCCAAAAUAUGAUACAACAGCUCUGAAAUGCAGCUAAGACUCUCUCCACUGCAGCAGUUUUCACCUUUAAAUUAUAAUACUUUUUUCAAUCUUUUGAAAGUAAGCGUUUUUUUCUUGCAAAUGAGGCCGAUCAGAGUUUUUAAAAGAGCGUUUUUAAGUUUCUUCAGGGUGAGUUUAAGGGCAGAGGCUCAACAAGCUCAAUAAACACAACCACCCACACAAAGGUACCAUGGGGUUUUUAACUGUGCUGUUGGGAAAAGCAAGUGCUCUGUGGUUUUUUUAAUGAUCUAACCCUUCAGAAAUGUGUUAUCAAGUAUUAUUUGGGUUUUUGUAGGAACUCACAUCUGGGGGAAAAGACUCAAAGGGUUCCUUCCGACAUAAAAGUACUGAUUUUAAGAGAGAAAAUGUUCAAAUUAAAGUCUUUGCUGGUUAUUUUCAUUCAAACAAAUAACAAUUACAUGUUUUGUUUUCUCUUGUUUUGUUUUUUCACAGCGACAGAAAAUAUCGACUGGAUGCAUGAAAAGCAGACAUUUUGGACCUGGUAAGUUUCAGAUCAGUGUUUGAAGCGUGUUAACUCACCUGGAUUCCUUCAUACUACUGACUUCAUGAACCUGGAAUGGCUGUGUGAGACCUUUUGAUACACUUUUUUUAUUCUAUUUUAUGCAGUGUAAAUAAAUUAUCA
rnacentral:lncRNA from 1 species